GACGAACGCUGGCGGCGUGCUUAACACAUGCAAGUCGAACGAAGUGGCGAACGGGUGAGUAACGCGUAAUCAACCUGCCCUUCAGAGGGGGACAGCAGUUGGAAACGACUGCUAAUACCGCAUACUGAAGGUGGGGAUUGCGUCUGAUUAGCUAGUUGGAGGGGUAACGGCCCACCAAGGCGAUGAUCAGUAGCCGGUCUGAGAGGAGGAACGGCCACAUUGGGACUGAGACACGGCCCAGACUCCUACGGGAGGCAGCAGUGGGGAAUAUUGCACAAUGGGGGAAACCCUGAUGCAGCCAUGCCGCGUGUGUGAAGAAGGCCUUCGGGUUGUAAAGCACUUUCAGCGAGGAGGCGUGACUCGCAGAAGAAGCACCGGCUAACUCCGUGCCAGCAGCCGCGGUAAUAC
rnacentral:rRNA from 1 species